rnacentral:rRNA from 1 species
GAUGAACGCUAGCUACAGGCUUAACACAUGCAAGUCGCGGGGCAGCAUGGGGGUUGCUUGCAAUCCCCGAUGGCGACCGGCGCACGGGUGAGUAACGCGUAUCCAACCUGCCCUUCACCACGGGAUAACCCGGCGAAAGUCGGACUAAUACCGUAUGUUGUCCAUUGACGGCAUCCGAUUUGGACGAAAGGUUUGGCGGUGAAGGAUGGGGAUGCGUCCGAUUAGCUGGACGGCGGGGUGACGGCCCACCGUGGCGACGAUCGGUAGGGGUUCUGAGAGGAAGGUCCCCCACACUGGAACUGAGACACGGUCCAGACUCCUACGGGAGGCAGCAGCGAGGAAUAUUGGUCAAUGGGCGUAAGCCUGAACCAGCCAAGUAGCGUGCAGGAUGACGGCCCUAUGGGUCGUAAACUGCUUUUAUGCGGGGAUAAAGUGGCCCACGUGUGGGUUUUUGCAGGUACCGCAUGAAUAAGGACCGGCUAAUUCCGUG